GUAUUUCCGCCGGCGCGAAACGAGCGUAGCUUCCUUGUCGUGUGGCCUCAGUCCUUCGCCGUCCCUCGCCGUCCUUCGCCAUCGCACGCCACCGCACCCCAUCUCUCGAAAUCUGCAGACAUCUUGAUUUUUCCCACGCUGUCUGUCAGGUCUCCGCCGCCACUCGACGCCAGGGCGCCGGGUGAGUCCACAGCAGGGCGCAUGGUCGGCUCCACUCUCACCAUCGGGGGAAACUGAGGCCCCGGGGAAGGCGGCCAGAGAGGUCAGGCCCUGUCCUUGGUGCAGUGUCUCGUCCUCUUUGCCGGAGUGAGCCCCCCAGGAUUCGCGUGUCCUCGGGAAAGACACUGGCGGGCCUUGUGGGCUGUGCUGCACCUCGGACGGCUUCGCACCAGCCAGCGCCCUCUCUCUCCUGCAGCACUCUGAUCUGCACCCCCUGAGGGGCUUCCACUGUCCGCGGGGUGAGAAUGCCCCUGGGAGUGUCACAUGACUGCCGCCCCAUGUGUGUGAGAGGCGUCCUCUGGGAGAGCAUGGAUCCUGAGGUCCCAGGAUUGUCAGCUGACCUCUGUCCUGUGUGCCCAGUGGCCCCAGGUGACGUGUCUUCAAGAAGAGGCUGAGCUGCGGUGCUUGUAAGAGUCAUGUGCUGUUCCUGGGGCUUGGAUGAUGUAGGGGAAGCAAGGUGAAAGUGGUAUCCCGUGGUUCCACGUUCUGUCCUGCUGUGGGGCUGUCCCUCACAUGCUUUCAGUGGCUGUUGCAGAGGAAGAGCCUCCGGAAAUCUGCGUGGGUAAAGUCUCAGCCUUAGAUCCAAGGACAGUCCAAGGAAGUCCUAAGACCAUGGAGUUGGUGAUCUAGGAUCUGGGUUUGCUGAUAUUUCUCACCGUGAAUCUCUUGGUGGUGUUUGUGGGCACGAGAGGGGCAGAGAAUGGAGAGUGAGGCUACCACAUGAAGCGUCACCAGAGCUGCUCCCUGCUGCCUGCUCAGAGCACCCCGGAUCCACUGUUCAAUCUGCACAAGAUUCGGGGUCCAGACAUGGGAGACUUCAGCUGCCUCAGAGGACCGUGGACAGGGAAGGCCAGCCUCGCAUCCCUCUGUCCAUGCCUGGAAUGACUUUAAUAACCAAGAGUUUUAUUUUUGAAUUUGUAGCUGUCGUUCACUUUUUACCCACCCAUUCAAUAAACCUUACAGAAUUGCUCCA
rnacentral:sRNA from 1 species